CCUACGGGAGGCAGCAGUGGGGAAUAUUGGACAAUGGGGGCAACCCUGAUCCAGCCAUGCCGCGUGUGUGAAGAAGGCCCUCGGGUUGUAAAGCACUUUCAGUGAGGAAGAACGCCUGGUGGUUAAUACCCAUCAGGAAAGACAUCACUCACAGAAGAAGCACCGGCUAACUCCGUGCCAGCAGCCGCGGUAAUACGGAGGGUGCGAGCGUUAAUCGGAAUUACUGGGCGUAAAGCGCGCGUAGGUGGCUUGAUAAGCCGGUUGUGAAAGCCCCGGGCUCAACCUGGGAACGGCAUCCGGAACUGUCAAGCUAGAGUGCGGGAGAGGAAGGUAGAAUUCCCGGUGUAGCGGUGAAAUGCGUAGAGAUCGGGAGGAAUACCAGUGGCGAAGGCGGCCUUCUGGACUGACACUGACACUGAGGUGCGAAAGCGUGGGUAGCAAACAGGAUUAGAUACCCCAGUAGUC
rnacentral:rRNA from 1 species